rnacentral:rRNA from 1 species
AGAGUUGAUCCUGGCUAGGACGAACGCUGGCGGCGUGCCUAACACAUGCAAGUCGAGCGAGGAGAUCCUUCGGGAUGAUCCUAGCGGCGGACGGGUGAGUAACACGUGGGCAACCUGCCUCAUAGAGAGGAAUAGCCUUCCGAAAGGGAGAUUAAUACCUCAUAACAUUGCAGUUUCGCAUGAAACAGCAAUUAAAGGAGCAAUCCGCUAUGAGAUGGGCCCGCGGCGCAUUAGCUAGUUGGUGAGGUAACGGCUCACCAAGGCGACGAUGCGUAGCCGACCUGAGAGGGUGAUCGGCCACAUUGGGACUGAGACACGGCCCAGACUCCUACGGGAGGCAGCAGUGGGGAAUAUUGCACAAUGGGGGAAACCCUGAUGCAAGCAACGCCGCGUGAGUGAUGACGGCCUUCGGGUUGUAAAGCUCUGUCUUCAGGGACGAUAAUGACGGUACCUGAGGAGGAAGCCACGGCUAACUACGUGCCAGCCGCAGC